GUGGAAAUCAUUUGUAAAGAGGGGGUGCUGGAAAAAUCAUAAUACACCUAUGUAACUUUUUCCAGGAUAAUAGUGCUUUCGGAGGGAGAUUUAUAAAUCGUAAAAACACACAAACAGGUUUAGCGUGGAUUUUGUAGGCAAUGGGCCCCUGUUAAAUUUUAUCACAUCAUUGAUGUAAUGAUGAAUCACAAUUAUAUGCUUCCGUGUAAACCAUUAUUUUACAGAAUUUCAAAGAGAAUGACU
rnacentral:misc_RNA from 1 species